AUGGACUUGGGCCCCGUCCACCUACCUGGGUAUGCUGCCGCAGGCUGCUCCUCCGUGGCGCUCCCCUCAGGCCUGUGGAGAUGACACAGCUUCUGACAAGGCAGAGGCCCCCCCGGUGCAGCCGAGAAGACCAUGAAGGGUGAGAAAGACCCGAAGCCCCUGAGAGGCGGCGACGCCGGAGCCUGCAGGGAGCAACUGAGGAGCAGCGGGGGUCUCAGCAAGAGGGACCAGGAGGCCCGGCGGGGGCACGGUGUCCCCUCGGAGGGACAGAGGUCCAGGGUCACCUGGGAGUGCCAUGGCUGGGAAAGGAGAGCCCCAGGUGUGCUGGGCUGUGUCCGGAAUCACCCAUCCAAUGGACCUGGGGAAGCCUGCUGGCGCCAUCCCACAGCCUCCUCCCGCUGCCCUGUCCUCUGUGGCUGGCCAGUUCCUGUCAUUCGUGGCUCAAGGGGGUCAAGAGCCCACCCAGAGCUGGGAGAAAGCCAAGGGCUCCUUGACUGGCCAUGUUCUCCCCAUCGAUAAACCUAAAUCCUACAGGCAGCAACUGGGUGAAAAAGAAUGAAAGACAGAAGACUGAAAUGACUCCAUUUCGAGUGGGGAGAAUGGGUCUUGCCGGGCCCCAGGACCCAUGUAAGACACAGGAGUGCGGGCAAGGAGGGGAAGCGGGGUACGUAAUUCAGCACCGAGAGUAACUAGUCUGCCAGGCUGCCAGCCUUAGAGAAAGAAGCAGGAUUACAGGAAUCCUGAGUUUCCACAGAACCCCCAGGGCUUUGGGGAAACACAGGCAGAGCCAGGAAAGAGCUCGGGAGUCUCGGCCUAGGGAGGAGGCAGAUUCGCAGGCAUCAGUGCCCCACGGGCGGCGAGCAGGCCCGAGGCCAGCGUCCACGCAGUGUCCACGCAGGCAUGGGUGCCCCACGGGCGGCGAGCAGGCCCGAGGCCAGCGUCCACGCAGUGUCCACGCAGGCAUGGGUGCCCCACGGGCGGCGAGC